GUGCCAGCAGCCGCGGUAAUACGGAGGACCCGAGCGUUAUCCGGAUUUAUUGGGUUUAAAGGGUGCGCAGGCGGAGGAUUAAGUCAGCGGUGAAAUUUUCAUGCUCAACAUGAAAACUGCCAUUGAUACUGGUCCCCUUGAGAGAUGUCGAGGAUGGCGGAAUGUGAUGUGUAGCGGUGAAAUGCUUAGAUAUGUCACAGAACACCGAUUGCGAAGGCAGCUGUCCAGAGAUCAUCUGACGCUCAGGCACGAAAGCAUGGGUAUCAAACAGGAUUAGAUACCCUGGUAGUCCAUGCAGUAAACGAUGAGUGCUCGCCAUUUGCUCGUACGAGUGAGUGGCUUAGGGAAACCGUUAAGCACUCCACCUGGGGAGUACGCCGGCAACGGUGAAACUCAAAGGAAUUGACGGGGGCCCGCACAAGCGAGGAACAUGUGGUUUAAUUCGAUGAUACGCGAGGAACCUUACCCGGGCUUGAAAUCAGGAUGAACGAUCUGGAGACAGAGAGGUCUGGCAACAGCAUCCUGGUAGGUGCUGCAUGGUUGUCGUCAGCUCGUGCCGUGAGUGUCGGCUUAAGUGCCAUAACGAGCGCAACCCUCGCUGACAGUUACUAAUAGGUUAAGCUGAGGACUCUGUCGGGACUGUCACCGCAAGGUGCGAGGAAGGUGGGGAUGACGUCAAAUCAGCACGGCCCUUACGUCCGGGGCUACACACGUGUUACAAUGGGUGGGACAGAAAGAAGCCAGGCGCGACACCGAGCGGAUCUCCAAACCCAUCCCUAGUUCGGAUUGGAGUCUGCAACCCGACUCCAUGAAGCUGGAUUCGCUAGUAAUCGCGCAUCAGCCACGGCGCGGUGAAUACGUUCCCGGGCCUUGUACACACCGCCCGU
rnacentral:rRNA from 1 species